UACGGGGGGGCAAGCGUUGUUCGGAAUUACUGGGCGUAAAGGGCUCGUAGGUGGCCAACUAAGUCAGACGUGAAAUCCCUCGGCUUAACCGGGGAACUGCGUCUGAUACUGGAUGGCUUGAGAUUGGGAGAGGGAUGCGGAAUUCCAGGUGUAGCGGUGAAAUGCGUAGAUAUCUGGAGGAACACCGGUGGCGAAGGCGGCGUCCUGGACCAACACUGACACUGAGGAGCGAAAGCCAGGGGAGCAAACGGG
rnacentral:rRNA from 1 species